rnacentral:lncRNA from 1 species
GGACUUAGUUUGUCUGCCAGUUAACAUUAUAUUACACAGUCUGCAGUUAAGUUUUUUUAAAUAAUUUAUAGGAUUCACAAACCAUCCUGGAUUUAUACCAAACUUUGACAGAAUCUUCUCUUACAAUUAAAAGAUAGUAUCUAGAGGAAAGUUUUUUUUUAAUUUUCCUCUCAUUUUUGUUAACUGUAAAUCUAUUAUGGACAUUUCCCUAUCAUACCUGAAAACAUAGACAACAGCAAAAGAAAGCAAGACACUGGGUUCCGCUGAACCCUUACAAAUUUUUGUGUAUUACUAUCAGCUUAUCAAAUGUAUAAAACAUUUAACUUCUUGUUAAUAUGAAGAAAAGAAAAG